rnacentral:rRNA from 1 species
GAUGAACGCUGGCGGCGUGCUUAAUACAUGCAAGUCGAGCGAACGGACGAGAAGCUUGCUUCUCUGAUGUUAGCGGCGGACGGGUGAGUAACACGUGGAUAACCUACCUAUAAGACUGGGAUAACUUCGGGAAACCGGAGCUCAUACCGGACAAUAUUUUGAACCGCAUGGUUCAAAAGUGAAAGACGGUCUUGCUGUCACUUAUAGAUGGAUCCGCGCUGCAUUAGCUAGUUGGUAAGGUAACGGCUUACCAAGGCAACGAUGCAUAGCCGACCUGAGAGGGUGAUCAGCCACACUGGAACUGAGACACGGUCCAGACUCCUACGGGAGGCAGCAGUAGGGAAUCUUCCGCAAUGGGCGAAAGCCUGACGGAGCAACGCCGCGUGAGUGAUGAAGGUCUUCGGAUCGUAAAACUCUGUUAUUAGGGAAGAACAUAUGUGUAAGUAACUGUGCACAUCUUGACGGUACCUAAUCAGAAAGCCACGGCUAACUACGUG